UGGGGAAUUUUGGACAAUGGGCGAAAGCCUGAUCCAGCCAUGCCGCGUGUGUGAAGAAGGCCUUCGGGUUGUAAAGCACUUUUGUCCGGAACGAAACGGCGGAGACGAAUAAUCUCCGCUAAUGACGGUACCGGAAGAAUAAGCACCGGCUAACUACGUGCCAGCAGCCGCGGUAAUACGUAGGGUGCAAGCGUUAAUCGGAAUUACUGGGCGUAAAGCGUGCGCAGGCGGUUUCGCAAGUCAGAUGUGAAAUCCCCGGGCUCAACCUGGGAACUGCAUUUGAAACUACGAGGCUCGAGUGUGUCAGAGGGGGGUGGAAUUCCACGUGUAGCAGUGAAAUGCGUAGAGAUGUGGAGGAACACCAAUGGCGAAGGCAGCCCCCUGGGAUAACACUGACGCUCAUGCACGAAAGCGUGGGGAGCAAACAG
rnacentral:rRNA from 1 species